UUCGGUGCUGGUCGCGCUCUGGCUGGGCACGAACGUAGAGGUCAGGCUAGGGCUGACGAUGCUGGCUAAGCGGGGCUGCCCAUCUGGGAAGUCGUCGUCGUAGUCACCGAUGUCCGUGACCUUCCAGAGAUGGCAUCUCAACGUGUUGCCCAGGCUGGUCUUGAACCCCUGGACUCAAGCAAUCCUCCUACCUUGGCCUCCCAAAGUGCUGGGAUUAUAGGUCCUCUGGUAACCACUGUUCUACUCAAUACUUCUAUGAGAUAAACUUCUUUGGAUUCCACAUAUGAUCAAGAUCAUGAGGAAGGAGGAGCAAGUCUUCUUUGUCAUGCUGUUAAGAAAACACCCAGAGUCACAGCACCAUAAUCUCCUUGUGGAGCAGAACAAGUAAUAUAAAACUGAUCUAAAGAGGCCUCCCCUCUA